AAAACAAAUAGAGAGGAGGAAUUCCAAGAUGGCGCCGUGAGUAGUCCUCUUUGUCUCUCGCCCUUCGAGUCUACAAUUAUUUGGACACUUAUCGCUUGACAAAGGAUAUCCAGACAGCAUCUCAGGACGUCUGAGACACCCACGCGACUAUACAUCGGAAGGCGGACGGACUUUCCUCCGGGAGGAUGUGGAAAUAGGUGAAAACUCUCCGACCCCGACGGGCAGCCUAGUACCCGCAAGUGGCUUUCUUCCAACGGACGCCCCCAGAGGAUCCACACACAUCUAGGGCAGGAGCGAGAACACAACAGAGGAACGACGGUGGAAACAGGUGACCAGAACCCUACUUAAACCCCCCGCAAUUACUCCUAAACGCAGAGGGAAACUUUGGAGUUGCACACCUGAGCCCGCGGGGAGAGUCUCUCCCCGCCAUUGGCGGGGAGACCCGGCCUGGUGCUCGGGGCACCCGGAGGGUCCCAGAGAGAGACACGGAGGGCACGGAGGUCUCCCAGCUGCCGUUGCCCGCCCCGUGGGACUAGGGAUUGCCGGAGAUCUCGGAGAGGACCGGGGCGGGGGAACUUUCAAAGGCCGGAUCGGCGACCCGGAGGGGAAGUGCCGGAGCUCCGCCCGGGCAGCAGACAAAACUCUCUGUCUGCCGGUAGCAGAGGGGCCACGCUGAGCAUUCAGAGCUCCCGGCAGAGGCCCGGAGAGAAGCCCAGAGGGC
rnacentral:lncRNA from 1 species